rnacentral:rRNA from 1 species
UGCAUAUCAAUAAGCGGAGGAAAAGAAAAUAACAAUGAUUCCCCUAGUAACGGCGAGCGAAGAGGGAAUAGCUCAAAUUUUAAAUCUGUUGGGUUUUACCUAACCGAGUUGUAAUUUGAAGAAACGUUUUCUGCGUGUUGAUUUAGCCUAAAUCCUUUGGGAUAAGGUAUCAAGGAGGGUGAGAAUCCCGUCUGGUUAGAUCAAGAUGCUUUACGAUACGUUUUCUAAGAGUCGAGUUGUUUGGGAAUGCAGCUCAAAAUGGGAGGUAAAUUUCUCCUAAGGCUAAAUAAAGGCGAGAGACCGAUAGCGAACAAGUACCGUGAGGGAAAGAUGAAAAGAACUUUGAAAAGAGAGUUAAACAGUACGUGAAAUUGUUGAAAGGGAAACGAUUGAAGUCAGUCGUACCGACGAGGAAUCAACCUUUUGAGAGUGGAUAUGUGGGAUUCAAAGUGCCUUUGUUUUUCGCAUCAUCUGCUUUUUUUGGGCGUACUUUUUAGUAUGGUAGGUUAACAUCGGUUUUGAUCGUUACAAAAUGACUGGAGGAAUGUGGCUUUGAUCUUGUAUUGAAGUGUUAUAGCCUUUGGUAGAUGUAGCGGUUAGGAUCGAGGAUUGCAAUGGAUACCCUCAUGGGCUAUCCGUCUGGCCUCUGAUUUGUCACUUUGGUGCUGAAAGCGUGCUUAUGGUAUUAAAGUGUACGGUCAAAAGGUUAGAACGGAAUAAAUUCAUUAAGGAUGUUGACGUAAUGGCUUUAAACGAC